rnacentral:rRNA from 1 species
GAAUCUUGGACAAUGGGCGCAAGCCUGAUCCAGCGACGCCGCGUGACUGAUGAAGCCCCUCGGGGUGUAAAAGUCUUUCAGCCGGGACAAUGAUGAUGGUACCUGCCGAAGCAGCUGCGGCUAACUACGUGCCAGCCGCCGCGGUAAUACGUAGGCAGCUAGCGUCGUUCGGAAUUACUGGGCGUAAAGCGAGUGGAGGCGGUUUGCCAAGUCCGUUGUGAAAUCUCCCGGCUCAACUGGGAGGGUGCGCCGGAAACUGGCAGGCUAGGGUGCGGUAUGGGAGAGUGGAAUUCCUGGUGUAGCGGUGAAAUGCGUAGAUAUCAGGAGGAACACCGGUGGUGAAGACGGCUCUCUGGACCGUUACCGACGCUGAGACUCGAAAGCGUGGGGAGCAAACAGG